UACGUAGGUGGCGAGCGUUCGCCGGAUUUACUGGGCGUAAAGCGCUUGUAGGCGGCUGCGUAAGUUGGGCGUGAAAGCUCCGGGCUUAACCCGGAGAGGCCGUCCAAUACUGCGGAGCUCGAGGGUGCCAGAGGAAGGUGGAAUUCCUGGUGUAGCGGUGAAAUGCGUAGAUAUCAGGAGGAACACCCGUGGCGAAGGCGGCUUUCUGGGGCAUUCCAGACGCUGAGACGCGAACGCUAGGGGAGCAAACAGG
rnacentral:rRNA from 1 species